UACGGGGGGGGCAAGCGUUGUUCGGAAUUACUGGGCGUAAAGGGCUCGUAGGCGGCCAACUAAGUCAGACGUGAAAUCCCUCGGCUUAACCGGGGAACUGCGUCUGAUACUGGAUGGCUUGAGUUUGGGAGAGGGAUGCGGAAUUCCAGGUGUAGCGGUGAAAUACGUAGAUAUCUGGAGGAACACCGGUGGCGAAGGCGGCAUCCUGGACCAACACUGACGCUGAGGAGCGAAAGCCAGGGGAGCAAACGGG
rnacentral:rRNA from 1 species